GAGGCUAUAGCUCAGUGGCAGAGCACCUGGGUAUCCAGGGUACAGGGGUUCGAUUCUCCUUAGCUUCACCA
rnacentral:tRNA from 1 species